CCGGGCAGAACAGCAGCAUUGCUCAGCUCCCACACGGCGGCUCUGUGUGGCGCUGCCGAGGUUCAGGCGCCCAAUCUGAAGCCGUCUCCCUUCCUCCGUUACGGGCAACCGGCGAUCGGCAACACGUUCCCGGUGUGCCCCAGCCUGCAUGAAGACUUCAGAGGACAACUUGUGGGCGUCAGUUUUCCUUUCACCAGAGACAGUGAGUAACGUCCGAUCCUACUUGUCAAAACUGUCGCUGGUCCUGAUGAAGACGUCCAGUUUCUGCUUCGCAUACUCAGUCACAUCUGAAUGAAGCUCCACCCCAUGGUUCACACCAAAAGGACC